rnacentral:rRNA from 1 species
AUACGAAAGGUGCAAGCGUUGUUCGGAUUUACUGGGCGUAAAGAGAGUGUAGGUGGUUUAUUAAGUCGGAUGUGAAAUCCCGGGGCUCAACCUCGGAACUGCAUUCGAUACUGAUAGGCUAGAGUUUGGGAGGGGUAAGCGGAAUUCCGUGUGUAGCAGUGAAAUGCGUAGAUAUACGGAGGAACACCUGAGGCGAAGGCGGCUUACUGGACCAAUACUGACACUGAGACUCGAAAGCGUGGGUAGCAAACAGGAGUAGAAACCCUAGUAGUCC